rnacentral:rRNA from 1 species
AGAGUUUGAUCCUGGCUCAGGACGAACGCUGGCGGCGCGCCUAACACAUGCAAGUCGAACGAGCGAGAGAGAGCUUGCUUUCUCGAGCGAGUGGCGAACGGGUGAGUAACGCGUGAGGAACCUGCCUCAAAGAGGGGGACAACAGUUGGAAACGACUGCUAAUACCGCAUAAGCCCACGGCUCGGCAUCGAGCAGAGGGAAAAGGAGCAAUCCGCUUUGAGAUGGCCUCGCGUCCGAUUAGCUAGUUGGUGAGGUAACGGCCCACCAAGGCGACGAUCGGUAGCCGGACUGAGAGGUUGAACGGCCACAUUGGGACUGAGACACGGCCCAGACUCCUACGGGAGGCAGCAGUGGGGAAUAUUGCACAAUGGGGGAAACCCUGAUGCAGCGACGCCGCGUGGAGGAAGAAGGUCUUCGGAUUGUAAACUCCUGUUGUUGAGGAAGAUAAUGACGGUACUCAACAAGGAAGUGACGGCUAACUACGUGCCAGCAGCCGCGGUAAAACGUAGGUCACAAGCGUUGUCCGGAAUUACUGGGUGUAAAGGGAGCGCAGGCGGGAAGACAAGUUGGAAGUGAAAUCUAUGGGCUCAACCCAUAAACCGCUUUCAAAACUGUUUUUCUUGAGUAGUGCAGAGGUAGGCGGAAUUCCCGGUGUAGCGGUGGAAUGCGUAGAUAUCGGGAGGAACACCAGUGGCGAAGGCGGCCUACUGGGCACCAACUGACGCUGAGGCUCGAAAGUGUGGGUAGCAACAGGAUUAGAUACCCUGGUAGUCCACACCGUAAACGAUGAUUACUAGGUGUUGGAGGAUUGACCCCUUCAGUGCCGCAGUUAACACAAUAAGUAAUCCACCUGGGGAGUACGACCGCAAGGUUGAAACUCAAAGGAAUUGACGGGGGCCCGCACAAGCAGUGGAGUAUGUGGUUUAAUUCGACGCAACGCGAAGAACCUUACCAAGUCUUGACAUCCUCUGACGAACGUAGAAAUACGUUUUCUCUUCGGAGCAGAGAGACAGGUGGUGCAUGGUUGUCGUCAGCUCGUGUCGUGAGAUGUUGGGUUAAGUCCCGCAACGAGCGCAACCCUUAUGGUCAGUUACUACGCAAGAGGACUCUGGCCAGACUGCCGUUGACAAAACGGAGGAAGGUGGGGAUGACGUCAAAUCAUCAUGCCCUUUAUGACUUGGGCUACACACGUACUACAAUGGCGUUAAACAAAGAGAAGCAAGACCGCGAGGUGGAGCAAAACUCAGAAACAACGUCCCAGUUCGGACUGCAGGCUGCAACUCGCCUGCACGAAGUCGGAAUUGCUAGUAAUCGCAGAUCAGCAUGCUGCGGUGAAUACGUUCCNCGGGCCAUUGUACACACGCGCCCGUNC